GAGGCCUAACACAUGCAAGUCGAACGAGAAUCUAUCCUUCGGGGUAGAGGAAAGUGGCGCACGGGUGCGUAACACGUGGGUAACCAACCCUCUAGACUGGAACAACCCGGGGAAACUCGGGCUAAUACCGGAUGUGGCGGCGAAAUCUUCGGGUUUUGUCGUGAAAGGAGCAAUCCGCUAGAGGACGGGCCCGCGGCCCAUCAGGUAGUUGGAGGGGUAAUGGCCCACCAAGCCGAAGACGGGUAGCUGUUCUGAGAGGAUGAUCAGCCACACUGGAACUGAGACACGGUCCAGACUCCUACGGGAGGCAGCAGUGGGGAAUAUUGCGCAAUGGGCGAAAGCCUGACGCAGCCACGCCGCGUGAGCGAUGAAGGCCCUAGGGUCGUAAAGCUCUGUGGAGGGAGAAGAAACCUGACGGUAUCCCUUUAGCAAGCACCGGCUAACUCCGUGCCAGCAGCCGCGGUAAUACGGAGGGUGCAAACGUUGCUCGGAAUCAUUGGGCGUAAAGCACAUGUAGGCGGCAACGCAAGUUGGAUGUGAAAGCCCAGGGCUCAACCUUGGAAGUGCAUCCAAAACUGCGUAGCUUGAGUCCCGGAGGGGCCCAGAGAAUUCCCGGUGUAGAGGUGAAAUUCGUAGAUAUCGGGAGGAAUACCAGUGGCGAAGGCGCUGGGCUGGACGGGUACUGACGCUGAGAUGUGAA
rnacentral:rRNA from 1 species